UACGUAGGGUGCGAGCGUUAAUCGGAAUUACUGGGCGUAAAGCGUGCGCAGGCGGUCUGUUAAGACCGAUGUGAAAUCCCCGGGCUUAACCUGGGAACUGCAUUGGUGACUGGCAGGCUUUGAGUGUGGCAGAGGGAGGUAGAAUUCCACGUGUAGCAGUGAAAUGCGUAGAGAUGUGGAGGAAUACCGAUGGCGAAGGCAGCCUCCUGGGCCAGCACUGACGCUCAUGCACGAAAGCGUGGGGAGCGAAACAGG
rnacentral:rRNA from 1 species